rnacentral:rRNA from 1 species
CAAGUACCAUGAGGGAAAGGUGAAAAGGACUUUGAAAAGAGAGUUAAAAGUGCCUGAACUCGCUGAAAGGAAAGCGGAUGGAACCAGUCGUGCUUGGCGAGAUUGUUGCGUGCAAAGGUGACUGCUCACUGUUGCAGCGUAAGCGCAGCAGCGGGUUUCGAUCUGGUCGCGCGCGAUGCUUCUUGCCUUGUUCGUCAUCGUUGGUUUGGGGGCGCGGACAACUCUUGGGACAUGGUAACUUGCCCACGGGUGAGCGAAUGUGCCUUGCAGAACUCACCUCCAAACUGAUGUCUCUUGUUAGGUUCUGUUGCCGUAUACGGCACGUUCUUGACAAAGCGUGGUGACAGAAUGGUUCUAUUCGACCCGUCUUGAAACACGGACCAAGGAGUGUAGCGCUAGUGCAAGUACUCACAUCAACAUGUGUGUGCAAGGGAAAUCGACGGUCGUGUGAUGCGAAAGCUUGCAUGACGGCUUGCUGUGGCUUGCCACCAUUUUGCAAGAGCACGAAAUGCUACGACCCGAAAGUGGUGAACUAUUCUUGGGAUGGGCGAAGCCAGGGGAAACUCUGGUGGAGGCUUGGUGUGCUACUGAACGUG